rnacentral:rRNA from 1 species
GACGAACGCUGGCGGCGUGCUUAACACAUGCAAGUCGAACGGUGAACUCCGCUUGCGGGGGGAUCAGUGGCGAACGGGUGAGUAACACGUGGGCAACCUGCCCUCAGCUCUGGGAUAACUCCAAGAAAUUGGGGCUAAUACCGGAUAUGACCGCUGACCGCAUGGUCUGGUGGUGGAAAGAUUUAUCGGCUGGGGAUGGGCCCGCGGCCUAUCAGCUUGUUGGUGGGGUAGUGGCCUACCAAGGCGACGACGGGUAGCCGGCCUGAGAGGGUGACCGGCCACACUGGGACUGAGACACGGCCCAGACUCCUACGGGAGGCAGCAGUGGGGAAUAUUGCGCAAUGAGCGAAAGCCUGACGCAGCGACGCCGCGUGGGGGAUGACGGCCUUCGGGUUGUAAACCUCUUUCAGCAGGGACGAAGCGAAAGUGACGGUACCUGCAGAAGAAGCACCGGCCAACUACGUG